AAAAUUGAAACAUAAAUUUUUCUCCCUGACCUUCUGGAAUUGGAAAUUUUUUGUGAGUAUUCUUAUUUUGUGGCAGAAGUGUUAUUUGCAUAAGUUCAAUAACAUCUGUUGCCUUAUGUCAGAAAUGGGAAAUACUAUUGCCAGGGCUUUGACUGGAAUGUCAUAUCUGAAGAUAUGACAAGAAAACUAAGGAACUAAGGUGGAUCUCAAGAAAGCCAACAGAAGCUCUUGGAAAGAUGGCCUGGCACCUUAAACAGUUCUGCCUGGAAGAGAGGAUUAGAGAAGCUCUAUGAAAGAAUUCGUACCACAGAAUUACCUGGACUUUUCUAAUCCAGCAUUGUAAUCAGUAGAGAUUGCAAAAGAGCAGCCACAACCAGAGGAUCACCUUGAGGAGGACUUUGAAAGAAGAAAAAGAGAUGGAUCUUUGCUAGCAGCUGACAACACAGAAUAGAUUUCUCCAGCCUUAUUUAAGCAAAAGCCACAAGCUGAGAGAAACGCAUCUCAGCGGUAUUGCAUAUACCACACCAGCAUCUGGUAGAAGGUAAGAGUUAUUGUACACUGCCAAUGAGCAUAAAUUAAAAAAAAAUCAAUUUAAUUUAUCAUCAUUACUUUAGUUUUAGUUUGCAACAAACUGUAAAAGGGUCAAGCG